GACAGAGGAUGCAAGCGUUAUCCGGAAUGAUUGGGCGUAAAGCGUCUGUAGGUGGCUUUUAAGUCCGCCGUCAAAUCCCAGGGCUCAACCCUGGACAGGCGGUGGAGACUACCAAGCUGGAGUUCGGCAGGGGAGACUGGAAUUCCUGGUGUAGCGGUGAAAUGCGUAGAUAUCGGGAGGAACACCUGUGGCGAAAGCGGCAUACUGGACCAUAACUGACGCUGAGGCGCGAAAGCUAGGGGAGCA
rnacentral:rRNA from 1 species